UAAUGACGCAACACUAGAGCGUAGGGAGAGAGGAAAAAAACACCACCCGUGAAGCGGGAAGGACGGAGCAGCAGUGACCGUGGCCGCACAUUACGAUCUCGCAAAACCUAGAAAAAGUGUUUAAAAGCCGCGCUUCAGCACACUUGGAAAACUUCCCCUUGUUUCGGAGGACUGCGGGGGACUCGCAGACGACUCGUGCAGCCUGGGGCGAGUUUAAAUAGUUUUCUGAAGAAUGAGCUGGAAGAGCUAAGCUAAAGUUGCUAGCACCGUGUCUUUGCUAAUUCACCUCGGAACCAGUCGGGAGAGAGAGACGGCGUGAUCAUCGGACGAUUCCGCACUCACCUGCGUUGAGGACGACAGCCAGGAGAGCGGAUUCCGUGUGCCCAUCUCAUCGAUGUACUUCCUUCGUUUUUUUUGGCCGUAAUGGUGAACUGCAGACUGGUAGGAUUAUUCAACACUAUUACAAAGGAUUUGAGCUCCAACGCGCGCGCCAACGAAACGCAAGCUUGCUGACUCAAAAUCGAGUGCACUCGUGACGGGAAUGACUGAAAGUCAAAAGAGCAGACACAGAAGCAGAAAGAGGCGAGGCGGGACAAGCCAGUGUGUGGAAGUGUAGGUGUGUGCAUGUGUACGGGUAAAAGAGAACUGAAGGGAAAAGCAAGGACUGUGCUGACAUGACUGUCACUGAAAACUGCAGGCACCAUGAGGCUGAAGAGCGACAAGGUCAGAUGGAAUAGAAGCCUGGCUCAGCAAAAGGUGAAGCAGAGAGCCAAGCUCCAAACCAGGUUCUGUGUAUCUUGGUCACUGCUGGAAUAUAUUGUAACUGCUGUGAAUCCAAGCUGACCAAACCUAAAGGAGCUGAAAAGAUUCUUCAUUCUGAUCUGUGUUCGGGGAUGGAUCUCCAAGGCUCCACACACGGGGAUACAUGACCUGCCUGCCUUUCACAACCUGUUUGUUCUCCUGCCCUACCAAGCACCACAGGUCAGACAACAGCAACAGCUGGCCUGGACCAGGGACGGACUAUCAUGUAUAAAUAAAUCUGAUUGCAGAGGUUUCUAUCUUAAAGAAUGUGGUUAUAGAUGUUGCUACAUAAAUUUGCCUUUAAUUAAAAAUCACAUCGGAUCCAGUCAGCAUUGUCCACCUCUGAUAUGAUAGAUAUGUUGCAGUAUGACAUGAUUAUUCUAGAAUUGAUCAAUUCAACACUGGUUGUCAAAGAUAAACAACUGAAGGGCAUACAAUUUUAAUUGGUCUUUCCACUGGCUGCAGAGCUUUAGGAUGGUAACUGGUGACCAUCUAUCCAAAACUUUUAUCCAGAACAAGAUAUCAUGAUAGCUAACAGAACAACUGAUAUGAAAUUUCAUAUAGGUAUUCCUGGUUUAUUAUUCAACUAUUAGGAAUAGAUUAGACUAUUCCUAAUCAUUUUAGUAACCUCAUGAUGUUUUGUCUGUCUACAGCCAACAGUAAUGUUUUGAGCUAAAUGCUAAUCCUUAAUCUCUCCCUCAUUCAUUCAUUCACUACUCCCUACAUAACAGAGACUCAGUAAUCUACUCUAUGGUGAACAGUAAAUUAAGAUGUUAAACUCUUUAUAAAUCAUGUCAUUUUGAUUCAUCAGGUGCAGCGUUGCAUGACUUCUUAAUCUUAACAUCUCUGAUGGAUUGUAUUGUGGGACAAUUAGCAGAAAGUAGUGUGCAUGCCAUGGACACUACCUUCUAAUGGGGAUCAGUAAAUAUAUAGCAUAUAUACAUGGUAAAUGCUUAUAUAGCGACUACUCAAAGCGCUUCAACUACAUAUCACAUUCACCCCAUUCAUACACAUUCAUACACUGAUGGCAGGUGCCAUCAGUUCAAAGAAAGUAAAUCAUUUACACACACUCACACACCAAAGGCACAGCCCUUGGGAGCAAUUUGGAGUUCAGUGUCUUGCCCAAGAACACUUCGACAUGUGGGCUGGGGGAAACCGGGAUCAAGAUGAAAAGUCAGGAGAUUACAAAAGUUAUUACAAUUCAUCCUGUGGGGAACAUGAAUGUGUGUUAUUUCAUGGCAAUCCAUUCAAUAGUUUGUGAGCUAUUUCACUCUGAACCAAAAAACUUCAACUUGCUGAAGGCACUAGAUGAACAGUCAACUAUUGAAUGGAUUUGAAUGGACAGUCAAAUAUUGAGUCAACUCAAUAGUUGAUAUAUUUCAGUCUGGACCAAAGUGGUGGACCAACCAACCAACACUACCAUUCCUUGAGCCACACCAUUUGCGUGGCAAAAAAUAUAACAAAUAAAUGUAUACAAAUAUACAAAUUUACUGAGUACAUUCUUUUUCCCCAAAAAAUUUUUGUUCCAUCCAGUACUUUCAUUUUGCAAGAUCUAACAGUGCAAACUGUAGUAUUUCCUGUUGUUUCCCAUUUCUAUUAUUGCUUAUGACAAGUUCCCUCCCUGUAACUCUAAGGCUCUAAAUGAAAUCUGGUUUUAACAAUUUUCAGCUGCCUCUGUUCUGCCAGAACUGUCACCAAAUAGACUCUCAAUUUGCCUUAGUGUGCAGUAAUGGAAAAAGAGAAAAUAGUCCCAUUUAGCAGAUAAUUAGCUGCAUGUUAGAAAAACCUGCAGUACACAUGUUGUUUAUCAUGGCGUGCUGCAAGUCAAGGCAACGUUUUCUCAUGUGAUCUUAAAAGAAUUUACAAAGCAUUUGACAUUUGAGAGAUGAGGCGAAACUGCAGCAGGACACAGCACUAAUAGUAAUGACUGGGAAAUAAAGGUCUAAAGUCUAAAGCCCCACUGGUUAACAGAUUUUUUUUUUUACUAGCUUUCCUCUUCUCAAUCUUAACCUUAACCUGGUAGAUACACUUAAUAUGACAAUAAUAGGGACAUGUCGGGAGUUUCUGGUCAUCUUCAGCAAGGGCCCCCUCUGUUGGUGCCGGGAGAGGGGCUUUCUCUAUAUUGGAAGUCACACUAAGUAUUACUGUUAAAUAUUUCAUUCUCUUAUUAUGUUCCUUUUGUUCAGGGUUCAAUUGUUGUUUACUCUCUGUCAGUUCCUACAGGAGAGGGGAAAGCUUUUCAAGUUUAUGAUUUGAGAAUGGUGAUCAGUCAUUUAAAUGCAAAGUAGACCUAUAAGAGUAGCUUCUUUUAAUGUUAAAGGGGUACUCAAUACGUUUAAGAGGGGGAAGAUUGUGUCAAAAUUAAAGAAGGAUAAAAUUCAAAUAGCUUUCCCAUCUUUCCCAAGAAUCCCAUCUUAGUGACACUGAACAUACCAAACUAAACAAAAUGGGCUUUAAACAUGUAUAUUCAUCUUCCUACAAAUCAAGACGCUGGAGGGGGAGUAGCCAUACUGUUAUCAAGUGUUGUAAAUUAUUAACACAUAUCAGAACUCAAGGACAAACAAGGCAGAUUUGUGUUGAUGAUUGGGAGAGUGGAAGGAACCUCAGUGAGUCUUCUUAACGUAUAUGUUCCCCCAGGUAGCGACAGGUCUUUUUUAUAGACAAAUAUUUGAAAUAAUAAUAAUAAUAAACAAAAACCAUGGGAUUUUAAUUUGUGGAGGAGACUUUAAUGUAUGUCUAAAUCCAAGACUGGACUCCUCUAGUGGAAAAUUAGAUUCCAAAGGUAUCAGUAAGAAGAUAAACAAAGAUAAGAUAAGCAACACACAAGAAAUACAAAGAAAGUUCUUAUUUACAAAACAACGUUAUUAUGAAGCUGGUGGAAAAUCUUUGAAACUUUUAUCUUACAAACUACGAAAACAAGCUGACAAUACUAUACACAAGAUUAGAAAUCCUGACUCAGAAGAGACUGAGACAAGUCUAGGAAAAAUCCAAGUGUUUCGAAAAGUAUUAUAAAUCGCUGUUCUCCCAACCACAAAUUAAUGACAACCUUCAGAAUGAGUAAUUUUUUGUCAUGGUUUUGGGUUUUUGUCCUGUUAUUUUCUGUUUUAUUUUGUAAUACUCUAUUUUCACCUGUGUCAAUUGAUUCCACCUGUGUCUCAUUGUCUCCCCUACCUGAGUGUAUUUAGUCUGUGUUUUUUGUUUGUUCUGUGUCAGAGCAUUGUUGUAGCUCUGUCAAGCACCCUGGUUUCAUGUACCUGUGAGUUCUGGAUGCUUUGUUUUCUCUUGUACCUUGCCUGUCUGGGGAUUUUGCCUGCUCAUCGUUGGACUUGUUUUUCUGUUACUGCUUAUCUGCUGAGAGUUGUUUUUGGCCUGCCUUUAGUCUUAGCCUUUUUUGGUAAUAAACUACUGAUCUGCACCAGCUCUACCUGCUAGUCUGCAUUUGGGUCUUGUUCACUGGCAUUCCUGGCUUGACUAAUCAUGACAGGACGAUCUGACCAUAAUGGACCUAGCAGACACAAUGUCUGACAAAGUGUUUGAGCUAAUUAGUGACCUGGAGUGCCUUGGGGAUAUGUGGAGGAAGGCAGUCGGGGACUAUCAUAGAGAGGCAAUCUGGAGGUAAUCUUAUUACAUGUUGUGGAUUCAGAUUUAAGGCCAAGCGGAAGAUGUCAGGCGGGCUGGGAACCUCAGGCGGACAGCCCGGGGGCAGGACAGGACAAGAGCAGAGUAGGUCAGGCGGCCACCCAGGAGGCAGGGCUGAAGGGCUGAGCUGGUCCAGGUGAUGACCAGAUGUACAAAACAACUCACCUCGAAUUUCUGGCCUUAAUGAACUGCUCGAGGAGCCACCCUGACAUCCAGCCUGGCCAUUUCCACAGUAUCCUGUGUAGGCCAAAGAAGAAGGCUCCCGACACUGUUGGCUGGCUCAGCUGUUCAGCGCCACAGAGUCUCAACUUCCAGAACCUCUGCCUCUUCGCUGCUCUGUCCUACAGAGCUGCUUCCAGCUCCUGGAUCCCAGUUGGCGGCCCGGCUGACUCCUGCUCCUGGUUCCCAGUCAGCGGCCUGGCCAACACCAGUUCCAAAGCUGCAGCGGUGUCCUGUUCCUGUGCUGGAGCAAUCUGCUGAGCCUGAGCUGUAGCAGCCUCCUGUUUCCCUGGCUCCACCUGCUCACCUGCCUGUCUCCCAGCUGUCCAGCUGCUCCUGCUCUGCUCUCCAGCCGCCAGCCUCGAGUCCUGAACUUCAGAUGCCGGAUACUUAUUCAGGGCCGUCCUCCUGAGGUCUCCUGCUCCACCCCUGUCCAGCACCCAGGCCGUCCGCCUUAGGAUCAUCUCCCAUCUCAUGCCUGCCUCUCUGCUUGUUUGCCUGCCUGCUAAACUCCAAGGUAACUCCAGCCUGCCCAUGCUGUCCAUCCAGCCUGGCCUGGCUCUGCCAUCCACCAUCGCCCCUCUGCCCUCUCUGCCAGCCAACUUCUCCUCACCUCUCCACUACAAAGACUUAUUCAACGAUCUGCAUGCAUCUGUGGAAUCACACAUUGGCUGCUCCUGACUGGUAAAGCAGUAUCCUCCUCCACCUAAAACUUUUUCAGAAGUUUAUUUAGCUGCUCAACCUGUUGCACUAAUGAGCAACAUCUUGCAUUUCAGUAAUGUUAUGUCUCUGCCAGUAAUGUUAGCUAGUGUUACCAGUUUUUGGAAGAAAGAAAAUCCUUGCAAUCCCACUAAAACUUAGACAAGAAGCGGCAACACAACAACCGGGAUGAACCACAAUAACAUGCAGAUCAACACACCGACAUUAAUGAAAAGCUCCUCACCUCAUGUGUCACAGUGUUUUCUUCUGCUGGACACAUGAUAUUUCUAUCAUCACACAGGAUCCUAACCCAAUCAAUUUAAUAACCACUACUACAUUAUGAAAGAUGAGUCUUCAAAGGGUCCCUGUUCUGUAGAAGACAUCUUGCCUCGUUCCUGUGCUGAAGACGCCGCGUCCCAGUGGCUCCAAGGACUACAGACUGACCUCCCACUUAAUGAAGACCCUGGAGAGA